AAUUUUUGAGGAUUUUUUAUUCGGGUCUUUUUUUAACUGAUCAUUUUAAUAGAAAACUUUGUGCAUAUGAGAAGACUAUGAAUUUAAGUGCUUCGGCGAGCUGUGCUUAAACAUCUUGAGCAAAGCACAUGUAAGUAUGUUGUUUAAUCUAGGCAAACUGAGGUGAUAGUCAUCUUGGGACCGAGUAGAGAUUCAGAUUUACAUAAUGAUGAUAAAAGGAUUCGUCUAGAACCCAUACGUCGCGUACCUGAGGAAAAUGACCAUGAGUGGCAGUAAUCACACUGUGCGAUCUGUGCCACUGGAUCUUACCAACAAAACCAGAGAGCGUGGGAGCUGCGCGCAGACGGGAGACCAAGGUCGCCCUAGACCUACUCCAGAAAGACAGGUGGAAGCGGCGCACAAGUGCAGCAAUGGACACGGAAUUCUUCCAUCUGAACCACAGGACUGUUGUGAUGGAUCAGUUUCGCAGACUACUCAAACAGACGCUGUGGGUGACAGGGGAAAUAGGACGCGUGAGGGUCCCAAACAAACCCGACCCAUAACCCCUAACGCGAAGUGCAACAAUCAGACGAACGCUGCAGGAAAACCGGCAGUUUCCUCAUUUUCCAAACUUCCGCCAAGGAAACGUCCUUUCCCACUGGAUGUGGACCAUCACCACAGUGGUCCAAGAAAAGAUCCACCUAGCGUGGCUCCAAAAGUGUUGAAGAACCCCGAGGCACAAAUAGACACAGAUCCACAGCGGAUAUUUAGUACAUUUGGAGAUAACCCAAGCGUUAAUGACUCCCGGUUUGUGCCACACUUAACACCAUAUCCAGGUUGUCCAUAUAUCCAGUGGCCUCGGCAGCCUCCUCCACUGGAGAGCACAGAUCGGCUGCUGGCAGAUAUUGCUGAGGCAACACGUCAAGAUGAAGAUGGUGACAUGCCUCUUCACAUUGCUGUGGUCAAAGAGAACUGCCAAUUGGUCAGCUGGCUUAUUGAAAUAUAUCGACGGGCACACAAAGACCUGGACAUUUUCAAUAACCUAAGACAGGUACACACACACACACACACAAACAAGCAAACUCUGUUAGGUAUCAUGAACUAGCAAUGAACAAUACUUUUGCAGCAUUUAUUCAUCAGUUGAUCUCAACCAGGGAGCCGGG
rnacentral:lncRNA from 1 species